GAUGAACGCUAGCGGGAGGCUUAACACAUGCAAGUCGAGGGGUAACAGGGGUAGCAAUACCUGCUGACGACCGGCGUACGGGUGAGUAACGCGUAUGCAACCUGCCCUAUACAGGAGGAUAGCCCGGAGAAAUUCGGAUUAAUACUCCAUGUAGCAUUUUUUUCGCAUGAAUUAGAUGUUAAAGAUUUAUCGGUAUAGGAUGGGCAUGCGUCCCAUUAGCUAGUUGGUGAGGUAACGGCUCACCAAGGCAUCGAUGGGUAUGGGGUCUUAAAGGAUGGUCCCACACACUGGCACUGAGACACGGGCCAGACUCCUACGGGAGGCAGCAGUGAGGAAUAUUGGUCAAUGGGUGACGAGCCUGAACCAGCCAUCCCGCGUGCAGGAUGACGGUCCUAGUGAUUGUAAACUGACUUUUCUAUGAGAUGAAUAAGAAUUACGUGUAGUUCGAUGACCGUAUUAUAGGAAUAACGCAUCGGACUAACUCCGUGCC
rnacentral:rRNA from 1 species